AUUGAACGCUGGCGGCAUGCCUUACACAUGCAAGUCGAACGGCAGCACGGGUGCUUGCACCUGGUGGCGAGUGGCGAACGGGUGAGUAAUACAUCGGAACGUACCUUAUCGUGGGGGAUAACGCAGCGAAAGCUGUGCUAAUACCGCAUACGCCCUGAGGGGGAAAGCGGGGGAUCGAAAGACCUCGCGCGAUUAGAGCGGCCGAUGCCUGAUUAGCUUGUUGGUGGGGUAAAAGCCCACCAAGGCGACGAUCAGUAGCUGGUCUGAGAGGACGAUCAGCCACACGGGGACUGAGACACGGCACAGACUCCUACGGGAGGCAGCAGUGGGGAAUUUUGGACAAUGGGGGCAAGUCUGAUCCAGCAAUGACGCGUGAGUGAAGAAGGCCUUCGGGUUGUAAAGCUUUUUUGUCAGGGAAGAAACACCGGCUCUAACACAGUCCGGGAAUGACGGUACCUGAAGAAUAAGCACCGGCUAACUACGUGCCAGCCGCCGCAGUAA
rnacentral:rRNA from 1 species